AAGUCGUAACAAGGUCUCCGUAGGUGAACCUGCGGAGGGAUCAUUAACACGCGUAAAGCGUCUCUAACCAAACAUAUGGAAACAAUGGUGUUGACUGUCAGCAAUGAUAAGCAACAACUAGUUCUCUCCCCAUACAUAUAUAUAGUCAUAUAUAUAUAUGAAUGGGCUAUUUUUAUAAUUCUUAUAAAAACCCUUUUCCAACUGUAGAUUAAUAUUUCGAUAUUAAUUUAUUAUUAUUGACGAAUAUUGUUCUUUUUUACUAUUAAUUUAGUGUAGAAGAACGAACUUAAGAUAAUCUAAGCACAACUCUUAGCAACGGAUAUCUUGGUUCUC
rnacentral:misc_RNA from 1 species